rnacentral:snoRNA from 1 species
ACUUCAUGAUUUGGUCAUUGGGCAAGCUUACCAUUAAACCUCUCCCAAGCUUCAAAAAACGAUUCUCUAUUCAUUUGCCAAAAAUUUACAAUCUCAUCCCACUUUUGAAGAAU